rnacentral:rRNA from 1 species
GACGAACGCUGGCGGCGUGCCUAAUACAUGCAAGUAGAACGCUGAAGAGAGGAGCUUGCUCUUCUUGGAUGAGUUGCGAACGGGUGAGUAACGCGUAGGUAACCUGCCUUGUAGCGGGGGAUAACUAUUGGAAACGAUAGCUAAUACCGCAUAACAAUGGAUGACACAUGUCAUUUAUUUGAAAGGGGCAAUUGCUCCACUACAAGAUGGACCUGCGUUGUAUUAGCUAGUAGGUGAGGUAAUGGCUCACCUAGGCGACGCUACAUAGCCGACCUGAGAGGGUGAUCGGCCACACUGGGACUGAGACACGGCCCAGACUCCUACGGGAGGCAGCAGUAGGGAAUCUUCGGCAAUGGGGGCAACCCUGACCGAGCAACGCCGCGUGAGUGAAGAAGGUUUUCGGAUCGUAAAGCUCUGUUGUAAGUCAAGAACGGGUGUGAGAGUGGAAAGUUCACACUGUGACGGUAGCUUACCAGAAAGGGACGGCUAACUACGUG